AUUGAACGCUGGCGGCAGGCCUAACACAUGCAAGUCGAGCGGAUGAAGGGUGCUUGCUCCUGGAUUCAGCGGCGGACGGGCGAGUAAUGCCUAGGAAUCUGCCUGGUAGUGGGGGAUAACGUCCGGAAACGGGCGCUCAUACCGCAUACGUCCUGAGGGCGUAAGUGGGGGAUCUUCGGACCUCACGCCAUCACAUGAGCCUAGGUCGCAUUAGCUAGUUGGUGGGGUAAAGGCCUACCAAGGCGACGAUCCGUAACUGGUCUGAGAGGAUGAUCAGUCACACUGGAACUGAGACACGGUCCAGACUCCUACGGGAGGCAGCAGUGGGGAAUAUUGGACAAUGGGCGAAAGCCUGAUCCAGCCAUACCGCGUGUGUGAAGAAGGUCUUCGGGUUGUAAAGCACUUUUGUUUGGGAGGAAGAGCAGUAAGUUAAUACCUUGCUGUUUUGACGUUACCAACAGAAUAAGCACCGGCUAACUUCGUG
rnacentral:rRNA from 1 species